GAACCAUAAUGGAUUUGAUUAUUUUAACUCGCUAAAGCAAUUAUGAAAUAGCACACAGGAUCAACUAUGCAACCAAUCAUACAAAAUAGUUUUAAUAACGUUGAUCUAAUUUACAAGGGAACUGAACCGGCGCAGAGAAGAGUACAUGAUGCUCACCAAUGCAGAACCCUUGCCGGGAAGCAGCAAAUUUUUAUACCUCAAACAUAUGCCACUUUAAAAAUUGCUUUCUUUAAAAUUCCACCACAAACUUAUUAGAGUUGAGCUUCCAAAUUUUGAGAUGGUGGCUGUAUCAACUCAGGUUCUUCUAAAUCCUCUGAUUGAAUGUGAACAUCCUGGGCAUGUAUCAGUUGGUGUGGUUGCUGAUCUUGUGCCAUUGCAUAGGCUUGUGGCUGAGACAUUCUAUAAUAUGGUUCCUUUAGGUCAAGUUUGCAUGAUGAUGUCUGAAGUAUUCCUCCUUGUUCAGCACCAGGACCCCACAUUUUGGCUGACAGUGUCAAAUAUAUGGUAUAACUCUGAGCAUUGUGGGCAACCAUGCAGAGCCGGCCAGUAAUUUCUUGCCCUGCCAUGACAUAGAGUGGCUGAGACAGAACACAUCGUAAUUGAUACCAGUGGGUUGUAGGAGCACCAGGAGCAGUUGUAAGCCACCUUUGUACAGUACUUCCAUUAAACAACACAUCAAACCAACAAGCCAACCCGUGCACUCUGGUGCCCACAGACGCUAUGAAUUUUAAGGGAAUAUCAAUUUCAUAUAAUUCCUCUUCCUUUAUUUCAGUGAAGUCUAUCACAUGAAAAAUUGCAGGAGCCACCAAUAAUCUUGGAUCAAAAGCAUCUACAACAGGCUGAGAAAAAUAUCCCUGGAAUGCAGAUCCAUAUAGAGGUGUUAGAUCAACUCCAUAAUAGUUUUGUUGCUGCCAAAAGAGGGCCUUAUUAGCAAUUUCAAUAAAUAAAUAUUCAUCGCUGAAAGGUGCCAUAUGCAUUCUUCCAACUGUAGGGAACAUUUUUCCAUUAGGGAGAAGAAACCGAUCUCUGGCAAUUACGUAGGACUCUAACAUUCUUUCAUUGACCAAUAAGGUGCCCAUUGGUUCAGAGAUCAGAAUAUCUGCUUUCUCCGGCAAUUCAACUUCCUCGACUUUACCCUUUAUUACCGUAAUCCUUUCACCCAGUGAUGGGUUCCCAGCAAUUAGUCUGCGAGCAUAUUCUGCCAUUUCAGAUGCUUCCACAGCAUAAACAUGCUUCGCACCAGCCUGAGCAGCAAAUAAAGACAAAAUACCACUACCAGCACCAACAUCAACAACAACACGACCAAAAAAAUCUGCACGGUUCUCAAUGACAGCAGCAUAAUAGGUUCCUGUCCUCACAUAAUCCUGCAGCAUAUUUUGCUGAUGUAGCAGUUGUCCAUAAUAAUGAAAAUACAUUUUAGCAGAUGAUGCCUCUAUUUUAUUAUCAAACUUGCUUUUAUGAUCUGUGACCACUCCAUUCGGUAAGGUUAUUCCUUGAACAAUGACUUCCUUCUUCCAUUGCUCAAAUGCACAAUGGAAGGCCCUGCUCUCCUCCUCAUUUCUAAAUUGGAUAGUGAUUCCUCUUGAAUAUUUCUCUUUACUGAUAUCAGAUGCUGAGCCUUCAUAUAUGCAAACUGAUCGAUCAGGUCCUAG
rnacentral:misc_RNA from 1 species